GCGGGGACGGGCUCCAGGUGCUGAUGAGGAUUUUCUCGCAAGGCUCAUAAUCCCGCGGCCGCGGGAUCGCAGGUUCAAAUCCUGUCCCCGCA
rnacentral:tRNA from 1 species